rnacentral:tRNA from 1 species
AUGGUUCGUAGAGCAAAGGGAGAGAAAGAAACAAUAAAAGCAGGGAGCAUAGGAGGAUCAAGACAGACAAACAUGACGGAGGCUGACUGGGAUGAGGGGAGGAGUGUCCCUCCAAGACUGGGAGCGGGGACAGAUAGAAGGGGAAAGAAGGGAGUGGAGAAAGUGGUAGCUGAAAGAUGUUUUAAGAAUGAGAAAACGAAUCCAUUACUUGAAGGGUUUGUGGGGCUGUCAUUUCACUCUUCUGCCUUCUUUCCACACAGCCUCCCAAAAUGUCUUUCUGAGGAGAUCUUGUUGUUGAUGGGAUUUAAAGUCUUCCCUGGUGGCUCAGAUGGUAAAGCGUCUACCUGCAAUGCGGGAGACCCAGGUUCGAUCCCUGGGUUGGGAAGGUCCCCUGGAGAAGAAAAUGGCAACCCACUCCAGUACUCUUGCCUGGAAAAUUCCAUGGACUGAGGAGCCUGGUAGGCUAUAGUCCAUGGGGUCGCAAAGAGUCGGACAUGACUGAGGAUUUAAAGAGGGACGGAAUUUUGCAUCUGUACUGCUGUUAUGCAGCACAUAACAGAACAGAGAAUCAAAAGAAAGAGAUCACGAGACUGUAAAAUGUAUCCACCUGCAUUCCACCCCUGAAACUUAACAGAGAUCAUGAGAAGAGCUUAGGCUUCCAUGUGAUUGAGGUUCAAGUCAACUUUACCAUUUUUUUCUGAAAGGACAGGUGGAAGGCACUGCUGAUACUGGGUUAUAUGUUAUACCUCCAAGUAGAUACAUGGCAAUCCAUGUGCAGUUGCAAAACAAAGCAAUGAUUCUCAAAAUAAGAUCUGCCAAAAACUAAUGGGCUUUCCUGGUGGCUCAGCAGUUAAAGCAUCUGCCUGCAAUGCAGGAGACCCAGGUUCCAUCCCUGGGUCAGGAAGAUCCCCUGGAGAAGGAAAUGGCAACCCACUCCAGUAUUCUUGCCUGGAGAAUCCCAUGGAGGGAGGAGCCUGGUAGGCUACAGUCCAUGGGGUCGCAAAGAGUUGGACACGACUGAGCGACUUCACUUUCACUUUCAUACACUAAUGGGAUUGGGGGCUCCUCUUUGUGCAAGUCCUAUUUUCCUUUUUACUAUGAGUGACUAGUGCACACUCAUAUAGAUUAUUUUACUAAGUGAAUACUAAAAUGAACCAGUUAGCAGAGUUUACUGAAGACUAACCCAAGACACCUGGCUGCCCCUGAGUGCCAUAAAUUUCCACUACAUCUGAUGCAAAGACCAGAAUCUCCAUAAUUCUCAGACUGAACUGUAUUAUCUCCAUCAACAAUGCUGAUGUGAGUGGGUCAUGGCUUUAAUCUGCUGCUGUUCCUAAAACAAUAAAUACAAAUGAGUGCUUUUUACUUUUGUGGAUCAUUUUGUUUUCA